GCGGACAGGGCGAUGGCAGGUUCGCCGGGUGUGAGGCUUCACAGCGGUCCGGUGACCAAGUCGAGGAUUUUUCUGGUGGUCUAGUCUCAGAGAUUACAUCUGUAGUCAGCACAAUGAUUCCCUUCCAAGCCCAGUGGUGCCCAGUUGCCUCCAGGUCCCAGACCUUUAUGUGGACAAGAAAAGCUUACAGAGGAAAUGGUAAUUCUCCACUUGCACACUGAGGUGUCCAGUUGCAGCCCAUGGAGAUCCAGUUCAAUUAUGAAUCUCAGGAACACCACCUUCUAUGGUGAGAACAAGACCAAGAUUGGAAAGCCAGCUUCAGAGGAGGGAAUUACAGCAAAAAUUGAACCAUUGACAGAAGAGUCUAGCAGUCUCAGAAUGUUCUCCAGGAUUCUGAAGGCAAAGAAUUCUGUGAAUUUGGGGAUAAAUUAAAUGAAAAAGAUCAGAACGUCUUUAAAAGGAGACCUCAUAACUGUGACGAAUAUGGGCAAAGCUUUGUUUGGAGUACAAGCCUUUUUAGGCAUCGAAAAACGCACUGUGAGAAACCUUAUGAAUGGGAUAAGUGUGGAAAGGCCACUGGGGAGAAACCUUAUUCCUGUAAUUGGUGUAUUAAAAGUUUCAGUUGGAGCUCAGACCUUAUUAAACACCAAAGAGUCCACACUGGUGAAAA
rnacentral:lncRNA from 1 species